CCGCCCCUCUCGCGAGACUUCCGCCGCGGCCUAGUCGCCCCCGCGGGGCCGAGGCCCGCGACUUGCCGCCGGCCCCUCCAGUCGAGGGCCCGGCCCGCGCGGGGAAGCCUCCUCGGGCCCUCGGCGUGUUCCCGGCAUGCAACGCGUGCUACCCCGGCGUGUCACGUUUAUUCCCAUUGUAGGGAUGCGGCAACUGAGGCCGGGCUGUGCAGCGCAGCGCAGCUAGGCUUAGCAAUGGGCCUCUGAGGCACCCCCCCCCCUUGCCCUGUGCGUGUAGUGUCGGCCACUCGAAAUGAGGGUGAAAACACACUGCCCCGAUCUCUCCGGCUGCCCUCGCGGGGGGUCGCGCCCGCGGCUAACGUCUGACGUCGAGCGGCUGGUUUCGUGUGGGAGAUUCGGCCGGUUUCUAUCCGCGAAUCGGCCGGCUGAGUGACACCGAUCCCUUCGAAGCGUUAAAGCAGCGUAGGCGUGUUGGUGUCGGGGCGCGCCAGUUUAGCGGCACAUUUCAAAUAGUGGCGAUCCCGCCGCUCGGUGCAACGCGGGGCCCGGUUUCACACUAGCCCCGACGGAGAAAUGUACCGCUGGGGCCCUGCAAAUACUUCAAAUAGACGAUAGAGACCCAUCAAGUGACACGGUGACCCAUCUCAUUUCAGUAUGAGGAGAAUGGAAGAUAAUUGCUGCAUAGGAAGAAUGGUCCCAUGGCGGUGAGCGAGGUCCUCAUGUUCUCCAGUGGAACAGAACCAGGACUGGGGGGAGAGGAGGAAUCACUCGCUUUAGAGCCACUUCAGAAAAAACAUCAGACACUCACAGCGUGGAGCAGAGAAUUGACUGCAUGCAGAUUCGCUGCAGAAUGAAAAUUUAUGCCAACGAAAUACAUUUCAUAUUCAAAACCA